GAAAUGCGAUAAGUAAUGUGAAUUACAGAAUUCAGUGAAUCAUCGAAUCUUUGAACGCACCUUGCGCCCUUUGGUAUUCCGAAGGGCAUGCCUGUUUGAGUGUCAUUAAAUUAUCAACCUUGUUCGCUUUUACGAGCUUGAGCGAGGCUUGGAUGUGAGGGCUUGCUGGCUUCCUUCAGUGGAUGGUCUGCUCCCUUUAAAUGCAUUAGUGGGAUCUCUUGUGGACCGUCACUUGGUGUGAUAAUUAUCUAUGCCAUUUGACUGUGAAGCAAAAAUUAUGGGAACCUGCUUAUAACCGUCUCGCAAGGGACAAUUUAAUUGACUAUUUGACCUCAAAUCAGGUAGGACUACCCGCUGAACUUAAGCAUAUCAAUAAGCGGAGGAAAAGAAACUAACAAGGAUUCCCCUAGU
rnacentral:rRNA from 1 species